rnacentral:rRNA from 1 species
UAGGGAAUCUUCCGCAAUGGACGAAAGUCUGACGGAGCAACGCCGCGUGAGUGAAGAAGGAUUUCGGUUCGUAAAACUCUGUUGUUAGGGAAGAAAAAAUGUAUAGUAACUAUAUACAAAAGAGACGGUACCUAACCAGAAAGCCACGGCUAACUACGUGCCAGCAGCCGCGGUAAUACGUAGGUGGCAAGCGUUGUCCGGAAUUAUUGGGCGUAAAGCGCGCGCAGGUGGUUUAGAAAGUCUGAUGUGAAAGCCCACGGCUCAACCGUGGGGGGUCAUUGGAAACUAAUAAACUUGAGUGCAGGAGAGAAAAGUGGAAUUCCUCGUGUAGCGGUGGAAUGCGUAGAGAUUAGGAGGAACACCGGUGGCGAAAGCGGCUUUUUGGCCUGCAACUGACACUGAGGCGCGAAAGCGUGGGGAGCAAACAGG